rnacentral:rRNA from 1 species
UCCAGACUCCUACGGGAGGCAGCAGUGGGGAAUAUUGCACAAUGGGGGAAACCCUGAUGCAGCGACGCCGCGUGAGUGAAGAAGUAAUUCGUUAUGUAAAGCUCUAUCAGCAGGGAAGAAAAUGGCGGUACCUGACUAAGAAGCCCCGGCUAACUACGUGCCAGCAGCCGCGGUAAUACGUAGGGGGCAAGCGUUAUCCGGAUUUACUGGGUGUAAAGGGAGCGUAGACGGUUAUGCAAGUCUGAAGUGAAAGCCCAAGGCUCAACCAUGGGACUGCUUUGGAAACUGUAAAACUGGAGUGCAGGAGAGGUAAGCGGAAUUCCUAGUGUAGCGGUGAAAUGCGUAGAUAUUAGGAGGAACACCGGUGGCGAAGGCGGCUUACUAGACUGUAACUGACGUUGAGGCUCGAAGGCGUGGGGAGCAAACAGGAUUAGAUACCCCGGUA